UACAGAGGGUGCAAGCGUUAAUCGGAAUUACUGGGCGUAAAGCGUGCGUAGUCGGUUAUAUAAGUCAGGUGUGAAAUCCCCGGGCUCAACCUGGGAAUGGCAGUGGAAACUAGGGGACUGGAAUCUGGCAGAGGGGGGUGGAAUGCCGCGUGUAGCAGUGAAAUGCGUAGAGAUGCGGCGGAACACCGAUGGCGAAGGCAGCCCCCUGGGCUGAGAUUGACGCUCAGGCACGAAAGCGUGGGGAGCAAACAGG
rnacentral:rRNA from 1 species